rnacentral:rRNA from 1 species
UACGUAGGAUGCAAGCGUUGUCCGGAAUUACUGGGCGUAAAGCGCGCGUAGGCGGUGAUCCAUGUCAGAGGUGAAAGCCCGGGGCUCAACUCCGGAAUUGCCUUUGAAACGGGAUCGCUAGAGUCCGAGAGAGGAUGGCGGAAUUCCUAGUGUAGAGGUGAAAUUCGUAGAUAUUCGGAAGAACACCAGUGGCGAAGGCGACUUACUGGACACAUAUUGACGCUGAGGUGCGAAAGCGUGGGGAGCAAACAGG